rnacentral:rRNA from 1 species
UACGAAGGGUGCAAACGUUGCUCGGAAUUAUUGGGCGUAAAGCGCACGUAGGCGGCUUAGCAAGUCGGAAGUGAAAGCCCUCGGCUCAACCAAGGAAGUGCUUUCGAAACUGCUGAGCUUGAGUACUUAAGAGGAUCGCGGAAUUCUCGGUGUAGAGGUGAAAUUCGUAGAUAUCGGGAGGAACACCAGUGGCGAAGGCGGCGAUCUGGGAAGAUACUGACGCUGAGGUGCGAAAGCGUGGGGAGCAAACAGG